rnacentral:rRNA from 1 species
GACGAACGCUGGCGGCGUGCUUAACACAUGCAAGUCGAACGGAAAGGCCCUGCUUGUGUGGGGUGCUCGAGUGGCGAACGGGUGAGUAACACGUGAGUAACCUGCCCUUGACUUUGGGAUAACUUCAGGAAACUGGGGCUAAUACCGGAUAGGAGCUCCUGCUGCAUGGUGGGGGUUGGAAAGUUUCGGCGGUUGGGGAUGGACUCGCGGCUUAUCAGCUUGUUGGUGGGGUAGUGGCUUACCAAGGCUUUGACGGGUAGCCGGCCUGAGAGGGUGACCGGCCACAUUGGGACUGAGAUACGGCCCAGACUCCUACGGGAGGUAGCAGUGGGGAAUAUUGCACAAUGGGCGGAAGCCUGAUGCAGCAACGCCGCGUGCGGGAUGACGGCCUUCGGGUUGUAAACCGCUUUCGCCUGUGACGAAGCGUGAGUGACGGUAAUGGGUAAAGAAGCACCGGCUAACUACGUG